rnacentral:ncRNA from 1 species
AUCAGGAAGCCGGUGGGAAUCCGGCACGGUCCCGCCACUGUGACCGGGGAGCGGACCCCAGCGAGGCCACGGCCCGACGUACGGGCUGGAAGGCAGGGGUGAGCGGUGAUCCGGGAGUCAGGAGACUG